rnacentral:rRNA from 1 species
UUGAACGCUGGCGGCAUGCUUUACACAUGCAAGUCGAACGGCAGCGGGGGCUUCGGCCUGCCGGCGAGUGGCGAACGGGUGAGUAAUGCAUCGGAACGUACCCAGUCGUGGGGGAUAACUACGCGAAAGCGUGGCUAAUACCGCAUACGCCCUGAGGGGGAAAGCGGGGGACCUUCGGGCCUCGCGCGAUUGGAGCGGCUGAUGUCGGAUUAGCUGGUUGGUGGGGUAAAGGCCUACCAAGGCGACGAUCCGUAGCUGGUCUGAGAGGAUGAUCAGCCACACUGGGACUGAGACACGGCCCAGACUCCUACGGGAGGCAGCAGUGGGGAAUUUUGGACAAUGGGCGCAAGCCUGAUCCAGCCAUGCCGCGUGAGUGAAGAAGGCCUUCGGGUUGUAAAGCUCUUUCGGCAGGAACGAAAUGGUCACGGUUAAUAACCGUGACUUCUGACGGUACCUGAAGAAGAAGCACCGGCUAACUACGU